AUGAACUACAAGGCGCACCUCGCCCACCGCUCCCAGGUGCUCCGCUGCCUGCGUGAUCUCGCCGUCGCCAAGGCCAAGCUCAAGGAGCUCAGGUCCCUCUUCUACAACCUAUCCUACAGGCGCCGCCUCUCGCAUGACCACGAGGAGUGCCAGAGGUUCUCCGAGAAGAUCAUUGUCCUGCUGCUCACUGUCGAUGCGCUCGAGUUACUCAUUAAUUCCUGCAAAAACCUGUAG
rnacentral:rRNA from 1 species